rnacentral:tRNA from 1 species
CGGGCUGUAGCGCAGUUGGUUAGCGUACAAGUCUGGGGGACUUGGGGUCACCGAUUCGAGUUCGGUCAGCCCGA